AUUGAACGCUGGCGGCAGGCCUAACACAUGCAAGUCGAACGGUAGCACAGAGGAACUUGCUCCUUGGGUGACGAGUGGCGGACGGGUGAGUAAUGUCUGGGAAACUGCCCGAUGGAGGGGGAUAACUACUGGAAACGGUAGCUAAUACCGCAUAACGUCUUCGGACCAAAGUGGGGGACCUUCGGGCCUCACACCAUCGGAUGUGCCCGGAUGGGAUUAGCUAGUAGGUGGGGUAAUGGCUCACCUAGGCGACGAUCCCUAGCUGGUCUGAGAGGAUUACCAGCCACACUGGAACUGAGACACGGUCCAGACUCCUACGGGAGGCAGCAGUGGGGAAUAUUGCACAAUGGGCGCAAGCCUGAUGCAGCCAUGCCGCGUGUAUGAAGAAGGCCUUCGGGUUGUAAAGUACUUUCAGCGGGGAGGAAGGCGUUAAGGUUAAUAACCUUGGCGAUUGACGUUACCCGCAGAAGAAGCACCGGCUAACUCCGUGCCAGCAGCCGCAGUAA
rnacentral:rRNA from 1 species